AAUGAACGCUGGCGGCGUGCUUUACACAUGCAAGUCGAGCGAGGCGGGUAGCAAUACCCAGUCGAGCGGCGAACGGGUGAGUAACGCGUGGAUUAUCUGCCCUAAGGUGGGGGAUAACCCGGGGAAACUCGGGCUAAUACCGCAUAUGACCGGGAGGUCAAAGGGGGCCGCAAGGCUCUCGCCUUUGGAGGAGUCCGCGUUCGAUUAGCUAGUUGGUAGGGUAAUGGCCUACCAAGGCGACGAUCGANAGCCGGCCUGAGAGGGUGAUCGGCCACACUGGAACUGAGACACGGUCCAGACUCCUACGGGAGGCAGCAGUGGGGAAUUUUGCGCAAUGGGCGAAAGCCUGACGCAGCAACGCCGCGUGGAGGAUGAAGGUCUUUGGAUUGUAAACUCCUGUCAGCAGGGAAAAGCAA
rnacentral:rRNA from 1 species